UACGUAGGGAGCAAGCGUUGUCCGGAAUCAUUGGGCGUAAAGCGCGCGUAGGCGGCCCCGUAAGUCCGCUGUGAAAGUCAAAGGCUCAACCUUUGAAAGCCGGUGGAUACUGUGGGGCUAGAGUCCGGAAGAGGCGAGUUGAAUUCCUGGUGUAGCGGUGGAAUGCGCAGAUAUCAGGAGGAACACCAAUAGCGAAGGCAGCUCGCUGGGACGGUACUGACGCUAAGGCGCGAAAGCGUGGGGAGCGAACAGG
rnacentral:rRNA from 1 species